rnacentral:lncRNA from 1 species
GGGGUACUGAUUAGUUCAUAUUGUUGUUCCACCUAUAGGGUUGCAGACCCCUUCAGCUCCUUGGGUGCUUUCUCUAGCUCCUUCAUUGGGGGCCCUGUGUUCAAUCUUAUAUAUGACUGUGAGCAUCCACUUCUGUAUUUGCCAGGCACUGGCAUAGCCUCAUAUGAGACAGCUAUAACGGGGUCCCUUCAGCAAAAUCUUGCUGGCAUAUGCAAUAGUGUCUGGGUUUGGUGACUGAUUAUGGGGUGGAUCCCAUGGGGAGGGUAGUCUCUGGAUAGUCCAUCCUUUCGUCUUAGCUCCAAACUUUGUCUCUGUAAUUCCUUUCAUGGGUAUUUUGUUCCCUAUUCUAAGAAGGAAUGAAGUAUCCACAUGUUGGUCUUCCUUCUAGAUUUUCUUGUGUUUUGCAAAUUGUAUCUUGGGUAUUCUAAGUUUCUGGGCUAAUAUCCACUUAUCAGUGAGUACAUAUCUAAUGACUUCUAUUGUGUAAAUGUACCACAUUUUCUGUAUCGAUUCCUCUGUUGAGGGGCAUCUGGAUUCUUUCCAGCUUCUGGCUAUUAUAAAUAAGGCUGCUAUGAACAUAGUGGAGCAUGUGUCGUUCUUACCAGUUGGAACAUCUUCUGGGUAUAUGCCCAGGAGAGGUAUUGCUGAAUCUUCCCGUAGUACUAUGUCCAAUUUUCUGAGGAACUGCUAAACUGAUUUCCAGAGUGUUUGUACAAGCUUGCCAUCCCACCAGCAAUGGAGGAGUGUUCCUCUUUUUCCACAUCCUCGCCAGCAUCUGCUGUCACCUGAAUUUUUGAUCUUAGCCAUUCUGACUAGUGUGAGGUGGAAUUGCAAGGUUGUUUUGAUUUGCAUUUCCCUGAUGAUUAAGGAUGUUGAACAUUUUUUCAGGUGCUUCUCUGCCAUUCGGUAUUCCUCAGUUGAGAAUUCUUUGGUUAGCUCUGUACCCCAUUUUUAAUGGGGUUAUUUGAAUUUCUGGAGUCCACCUUCUUGAGUUCUUUGUAUAUAUUGGAUAUCAGUCCCCUAUCUGAUGCUUUGUUUUUCAAGAUGAGGUUUCUCUGUGUAGCCCUGGCUGUCCUAGAACUCACUAUGUAGACCAGGCUGGCGUCGAACUUGCAGAGAUCUGCCUGCCUCUGCAUCCAAAGUAUUGGGAUCAAAGGUGUGUGCUACCACCGCUCAGCUAAAAUUAGCAGGUCUGAAUUUUGUUUCUCAUCAAUUAUUACUAUUUGAUACCUAAAAAAGACAAUCUGGUUAAAAGAAAUAUUAUAUUAUUAUCUAAUUUCUUUCAUAAUGUAGCUUUCCACUUACUUUUGCAAACCAAAUCUUGUAUAAUGCCAAUAUAAUAAGACAGAGCCAGGCUGGUAUCCACAGAUAAGAGCUAUGGUGACAUGGAUUCUGAGGACCAACUUUUCCUAGAAUUUGAGCUAGCUACUCCACACGAGGUUACAGUUAAGGAACCAAGCUGGCCAAAAGAGUAUAAAAUAACUACAGGACAGGGGAAACACAUAGUCAAAUAUAGAUAGAUAGAUAGAUAGAUAGAUAGAUAGAUAGAUAGAUAGAAACAAUGCCUAGAAGUGCCAUGGAUUUUUAUCUUGCUUCAACAGUGUUUGGAUGGAACAGUCACAGUCCUUGCCACCCAUUGGCUCCUAGGACCAGCCUGUCUUCUUGUGGUUAACUCCAUACUGCCUAGGAGCCAUGGCCUUCCAGAUUGGUCAGACUUAUUCCAUGAAAGUGGAAGCCACAUUGACCACUUGGUCAGCUUGCACCUGUGUGCCUCCUACACCCUCCUCUCUGGUCACUGGAAGACACUUCUGCUCGGAAUGGACCAAGUAGCACAAGGGCCCUGAGCCACGAAGAGGACAUGCAGAAGCUCUCUCAGGAUGAGUAAGGGAAAGUUCAGGAACCCAUGGAAGCUGCCUUGGCCCUAGAGAAGAACCUGAGCCAGGCCCUUUUGGACCUUCAUGCUCUGGGCUCUGCCUGCGCAGUCCCUCAUCUCUGUGACUUUCUAGAGAAGCAUUUCCUGGAGGAGGAGACCUUAUCAAGGAGAUGGGCAACCAUCUGACCAACUUCCUCAGGUUGGAGGGGCCACAGCCAUUGCAGAUUGCAGUUCCCCAGCCAUCUCUCACUCUCAGACUACAAGCUCUCCUCCCUCCCUAGGCAGCUCCUGCCUCCACUGUGCAUCUGCUAGCCUCUGGAAUGAGCCUUUCCAGCCACGAGGCAGCUUUGUAAGUACCUCAAAGCCCAUACAAGGCAUGGACCAAGUAAAAACAAAGCCUUUUGAAAGAAAAAAGUAUAUACAUUUUGGUCAGGUAUGCACUCAGGAGGCAGAGGCAGGCAGAUUCUGUGAGUUCCAGGCCAUUCUGGUCAACAGAGCUCCAGAUCAGGAAGGGCUACACAGGGAAUUCUUGUCUCAG